UACGAAGGGGGCUAGCGUUGCUCGGAAUCACUGGGCGUAAAGCGCACGUAGGCGGAUUGUUAAGUCAGGGGUGAAAUCCUGGAGCUCAACUCCAGAACUGCCUUUGAUACUGGCGAUCUUGAGUCCGGGAGAGGUGAGUGGAACUGCGAGUGUAGAGGUGAAAUUCGUAGAUAUUCGCAAGAACACCAGUGGCGAAGGCGGCUCACUGGCCCGGUACUGACGCUGAGGUGCGGAAAGCGUGGGAGCAA
rnacentral:rRNA from 1 species